rnacentral:lncRNA from 1 species
AUGGCUCACGGGCGCAUCCACGGAGGCGGUGGCGCACCGCCCUCCUCCUUUUCCACACCACGCCCCUGCCCCACCUCGGCUCUCUCGCCCGCCUCUGCCGCUCCCAACCUCCAGCACGCGCCACCACCUUCCCCCUCUUCCACACCACGCCCCUUGCCCCACCUCGGCACUCUCGCCCGCCGCUGCCGCUCCCAACCUCCAGCACAGAUCCCUCCCGUUGUCUCGUCGGUCCACGCGAGCCGCCGUCGCAUAUCUAGAUGGGAACCGCGGGCGCUACCGCUCGACGGAGCGGCCGCUUCCUCGGCCUUCAUCUUCUACGGUGGGGACGCCCGAGGCUCCCGGUCCUUUCACUCCUCCGACCUGCUGUCCUCCUACGCCGCCGCCGGAGCCGCCAUCGCAUAUCUAGAUGGGAACCGCGGGCGCUGCCGCUCGACGGAGCGACUGCUUCCUCGGCCUUCAUCUUCUACGGUGGGGGCGCCCUAGGCUCCCGGUCCUUUCUCUCCUCCGACCUGCUGUCCUCCUACGCCGCCACCGCUCGACGCAGCAUUAGCUUCCUCUCCUCCAACCGGCCAUGGCCGCCCCCCUUCCUCUCCUCCCAAGCCCCAUCCUUCUCCGUGGUAAAUUAAU